rnacentral:rRNA from 1 species
UUAAGCGACUAAGCGUACACGGUGGAUGCCCUGGCAGUCAGAGGCGAUGAAGGACGUGCUAAUCUGCGAAAAGCGUCGGUAAGGUGAUAUGAACCGUUAUAACCGGCGAUGUCCGAAUGGGGAAACCCAGUGCAAUUCGUUGCACUAUCGUUAACUGAAUACAUAGGUUAACGAGGCGAACCGGGGGAACUGAAACAUCUAAGUACCCCGAGGAAAAGAAAUCAACCGAGAUUCCCCCAGUAGCGGCGAGCGAACGGGGAGCAGCCCAGAGUCUGAAUCAGCUUGUGUGUUAGUGGAACGGUCUGGAAAGUCCGACGGUACAGGGUGAUAGUCCCGUACACCAAAAUGCACAGGUUGUGAACUCGAAGAGUAGGGCGGGACACGUGGUAUCCUGUCUGAAUAUGGGGGGACCAUCCUCCAAGGCUAAAUACUCCUGACUGACCGAUAGUGAACCAGUACCGUGAGGGAAAGGCGAAAAGAACCCCGGCGAGGGGAGUGAAAAAGAACCUGAAACCGUGUACGUACAAGCAGUGGGAGCACCUUCGGGUGUGACUGCGUACCUUUUGUAUAAUGGGUCAGCGACUUAUAUUCUGUAGCAAGGUUAACCGUAUAGGGGAGCCGCAGGGAAACCGAGUCUUAACUGGGCGUUAAGUUGCAGGGUAUAGACCCGAAACCCGGUGAUCUAGCCAUGGGCAGGUUGAAGGUUGGGUAACACUAACUGGAGGACCGAACCGACUAAUGUUGAAAAAUUAGCGGAUGACUUGUGGCUGGGGGUGAAAGGCCAAUCAAACCGGGAGAUAGCUGGUUCUCCCCGAAAGCUAUUUAGGUAGCGCCUCGUGAACUCAUCUUCGGGGGUAGAGCACUGUUUCGGCUAGGGGGUCAUCCCGACUUACCAACCCGAUGCAAACUACGAAUACCGAAGAAUGUUAUCACGGGAGACACACGGCGGGUGCUAACGUCCGUCGUGAAGAGGGAAACAACCCAGACCGCCAGCUAAGGUCCCAAAGUCAUGGUUAAGUGGGAAACGAUGUGGGAAGGCACAGACAGCCAGGAUGUUGGCUUAGAAGCAGCCAUCAUUUAAAGAAAGCGUAAUAGCUCACUGGUCGAGUCGGCCUGCGCGGAAGAUGUAACGGGGCUAAACCAUGCACCGAAGCUGCGGCAGCGACACUAUGUGUUGUUGGGUAGGGGAGCGUUCUGUAAGCCUGCGAAGGUGNUGCUGGAGGUAUCAGAAGUGCGAAUGCUGACAUAAGUAACGAUAAAGCGGGUGAAAAGCCCGCUCGCCGGAAGACCAAGGGUUCCUGUCCAACGUUAAUCGGGGCAGGGUGAGUCGACCCCUAAGGCGAGGCCGAAAGGCGUAGUCGAUGGGAAACAGGUUAAUAUUCCUGUACUUGGUGUUACUGCGAAGGGGGGACGGAGAAGGCUAUGUUAGCCGGGCGACGGUUGUCCCGGUUUAAGCAUGUAGGCUGGUUGUCCAGGCAAAUCCGGAUAAUCAAGGCUGAGGUGUGAUGACGAGGCACUACGGUGCUGAAGUAACAAAUGCCCUGCUUCCAGGAAAAGCCUCUAAGCAUCAGGUAACAUCAAAUCGUACCCCAAACCGACACAGGUGGUCAGGUAGAGAAUACCAAGGCGCUUGAGAGAACUCGGGUGAAGGAACUAGGCAAAAUGGUGCCGUAACUUCGGGAGAAGGCACGCUGGUGUGUAGGUGAAGUCCCUGCGGAUGGAGCUGAGACCAGUCGAAGAUACCAGCUGGCUGCAACUGUUUAUUAAAAACACAGCACUGUGCAAACACGAAAGUGGACGUAUACGGUGUGACGCCUGCCCGGUGCCGGAAGGUUAAUUGAUGGGGUUAUCCGUAAGGAGAAGCUCUUGAUCGAAGCCCCGGUAAACGGCGGCCGUAACUAUAACGGUCCUAAGGUAGCGAAAUUCCUUGUCGGGUAAGUUCCGACCUGCACGAAUGGCGUAAUGAUGGCCAGGCUGUCUCCACCCGAGACUCAGUGAAAUUGAACUCGCUGUGAAGAUGCAGUGUACCCGCGGCAAGACGGAAAGACCCCGUGAACCUUUACUAUAGCUUGACACUGAACAUUGAGCCUUGAUGUGUAGGAUAGGUGGGAGGCUUUGAAGCGUGGACGCCAGUCUGCGUGGAGCCAACCUUGAAAUACCACCCUUUAAUGUUUGAUGUUCUAACGUUGGCCCCUNACCGGGGUUGCGGACAGUGUCUGGUGGGUAGUUUGACUGGGGCGGUCUCCUCCCAAAGCGUAACGGAGGAGCACGAAGGUUAGCUAAUCCUGGUCGGACAUCAGGAGGUUAGUGCAAUGGCAUAAGCUAGCUUGACUGCGAGCGUGACGGCGCGAGCAGGUGCGAAAGCAGGUCAUAGUGAUCCGGUGGUUCUGAAUGGAAGGGCCAUCGCUCAACGGAUAAAAGGUACUCCGGGGAUAACAGGCUGAUACCGCCCAAGAGUUCAUAUCGACGGCGGUGUUUGGCACCUCGAUGUCGGCUCAUCACAUCCUGGGGCUGAAGUAGGUCCCAAGGGUAUGGCUGUUCGCCAUUUAAAGUGGUACGCGAGCUGGGUUUAGAACGUCGUGAGACAGUUCGGUCCCUAUCUGCCGUGGGCGCUGGAGAAUUGAGGGGGGCUGCUCCUAGUACGAGAGGACCGGAGUGGACGCAUCACUGGUGUUCGGGUUGUCAUGCCAAUGGCACUGCCCGGUAGCUAAAUGCGGAAGAGAUAAGUGCUGAAAGCAUCUAAGCACGAAACUUGCCCCGAGAUGAGUUCUCCCUGAGACUUUAAGUCUCCUGAAGGAACGUUGAAGACGACGACGUUGAUAGGCCGGGUGUGUAAGCGCAGCGAUGCGUUGAGCUAACCGGUACUAAUGAACCGUGAGGCUUAACCUU